GUGCGCACUUCACAGCACAUAUACUAAAACUGGAACGAUACAGAAAAGAUUAGCAUGGCCCUGUGCAAGGAUGACACACAAAUUUGUGAAAAUUCACAAAGGAAA
ensembl:snRNA U6 U6 spliceosomal RNA